UACGUAGGGUGCAAGCGUUGUCCGGAAUUAUUGGGCGUAAAGAGCACGUAGGCGGUUUGUCGCGUCUGCUGUGAAAACUCGGGGCUUAACCCCGGGCCUGCAGUGGGUACGGGCAGACUAGAGUGCGGUAGGGGAGACUGGAAUUCCUGGUGUAGCGGUGAAAUGCGCAGAUAUCAGGAGGAACACCGGUGGCGAAGGCGGGUCUCUGGGCCGUAACUGACGCUGAGGAGCGAAAGCGUGGGGAGCGAACAGG
rnacentral:rRNA from 1 species